rnacentral:tRNA from 1 species
GCCCUCGUAGUUCAACGGAUAGAACAGCCCCGUCCUAAGGGGUAGAUGUGUGUUCAAUUCACGCCGAGGGCA